UAAUAUACCUGGCAAGGGAGAUACCAUGAUCAUGAAAGGUGGUCUUCCCAGGGCGAGGCUUAUCCAUUGCACUCCAGAUGUGCUGACCCCUGUGAUUUCUCCAAAUGUGGGAAACCCAACUGCAUGAUUGUGACAGUGGGGGCAAGGGGAGAGAGUUGCUAACACCAU